UGGGGAAUAUUGCACAAUGGGCGAAAGCCUGAUGCAGCAACGCCGCGUGAGUGAUGAAGGCCUUCGGGUUGUAAAGCUCUGUCUUUUGGGACGAUAAUGACGGUACCAAAGGAGGAAGCCACGGCUAACUACGUGCCAGCAGCCGCGGUAAUACGUAGGUGGCAAGCGUUGUCCGGAUUUACUGGGCGUAAAGGAUGCGUAGGCGGAUUUUUAAGUGAGAUGUGAAAACCCUAAGCUUAACUUGGGGACUGCAUUUCAUACUGGAAAUCUAGAGUGCGGGAGAGGAGAAUGGAAUUCCUAGUGUAGCGGUGAAAUGCGUAGAGAUUAGGAAGAACACCAGUGGCGAAGGCGAUUCUCUGGACCGUAACUGACGCUGAGGCAUGAAAGCGUGGGUAGCAAACAGGAUUAGAUACCCUGGUAGUCCACGCCGUAAACGAUGAGUACUAGGUGUAGGAGGUAUCGACCCCUUCUGUGCCGCAGUUAACACAAUAAGUACUCCGCCUGGGAAGUACGAUCGCAAGAUUAAAACUCAAAGGAAUUGACGGGGGUCAUAGCGUUUCCUG
rnacentral:rRNA from 1 species